AGCCUCUUGCUCCAGGCCCUGCCACCGGGUCUUUACUGCCUGAGAGCCAGCGGACCAUGGACUACACCCACGGACUGAGAGGAACAGUGUUUGAAUUUGUAUCACCAUGUGGGACCCACUGGGAGUGGAGGAAGCUAGAUUCAUUAUGGAAACUGGAUAUACUCUUGCUAAAGAAGAUCAUUUUCACAUAUCUUUGGUGAGGAACAUGAAUAGAGACUAUACAUCAUUCUGCUCCGACAAUUGUUUCAUUGUUGCUUGAGUUCUUGGGAGGUGAAGUUGAGACGGCAUUUUCUGACUGGUUCCACGGACAGGGCUUGGGCGCAGGUCUCCCGGAUCCAACAGGUCACACCGAUUUGUUUAGCUGCUUUGAGGUAUGGUAAUCUCCUGCCUCAAUAUGACUUUUUUAGAAAUCUACUUUUUAAAAGUUUUAAAAAUUCCAAACUAGGACUCCCUCUUAUGAUUGCC